AUGAAGUUGAAUUAUCAUCCCGGAAAGGCUAACAUAGUAGCCGAUGCGUUGAGCCACAAGAGCCAUGUCAAUACACUCAUGACCGGAGAGUUACCCAAGGAGUUAGCGGAUGAUCUUCGUGAGCUAUGUUUGGAAAUAGUUCCGAGCGAUUAUGUAGCAGCAUUGGAGAUUCAGUCUACCUUGAUGGAUAAGAAUAGGGAAGCCCAGAAGACGGAUACGGAGAUUGCUGAGAUAAAGGAAAGAAUGAGCAAAGGAAAAGCUAAGGGAUUUCGUGAUGAUGAGCACGAUGCCCUAUGGUUUGAGGACCGCGUUUAUGUGCCUAAUGAUCCGGAGAUCAGGAAAUUGAUUCUACAAGAGGCCCAUGAUUCGUUGUAUUUGAUUCACCCAGAAAAUACCAAGAUGUAUCUGGAUUUGAAGGAUAGAUUCUGGUGGGCCGGAAUGAAGAAGGAUAUUGCGGAGUAUGUAGCAGUUUGUGAUGUAUGUCAGAGAGUGAAGGCAGAACAUCAGAAGCCAGCUGGAUUGCUAUAG
rnacentral:rRNA from 1 species